CGGGACCGGGGGGACCUGGCCGGCAGCCGGGGCUGGAGGCGGAGCGGCGGCCGGAGCCCUGCCCUGGAGCCCCGGAGGCAGCUGCGUCCAGAGGGUCCGUGCAGGGAUGGAUGCAACAGCGGAGCAGCAUGAGGACAGCAGCCGGCCACGGGGGCGAGGGGGACCUCGUGCCCCCCUGGGGUGGUCUUGCAUGGGCAUGCGAUGGCUGAGCCCGGCUCUCCACCUUGCGCUGCCACCAUCCCGCUCCCUCCGCUGUGGCCGUUCCUGCUGCCGGCGUUGAUCCUGCUGGCGCGGCCCAAGCCGAAGCCGCCUGGGUCCCGGAGCCUGCCAGGAAGCUCUGCCUCUGGCUCUUUGCUGCUGACCUGGGCUCUCCGGAGAGCAAACCCAGCCCUACGUCACCUUGCUCCGGCUCCGGGGAGGAGCAGCCCCGUGGGGACGUGCAAGAGGGGCGGCCGUGCUGGCAGAGGCGUGCGGCUUGGCGGCUCGGGGAAUCGCUUUGGGGCUCCAGCUUGAGGCCACCAGGGCAGAGACAACCUGGCUCCUGCCCGAGGACCCCGAGGACAGCCUGGUCCUGUCCCAGGCCACCGCCGGGCACGCCACCUCAUGCGUGGCCCUGAGCUUGCCCGCACACUCGGCCGGGAGGACGCCGGGAGCUCGCCAGCCCCGCUCGGCCCCUUCCAACCCGGUCGUUGCCUUCUCCGGCAUCAGUGGGAAGCAGGAGGUCCCUCACGACCAGGUUCCUCUUCCACAGCUCAAGCCCUGCCGCUCGGAGCAGAUGCAGAGGGGCUGCCGCGGCCGGACGCUGCUGCACGUGGGAGUCCUGGGAUGACGCAUGGCUCCAGCGCCUCCGUCCCACGGGCAUCUUCCCUGGCCCGGAGCCCGCGCUCCCGCCUCUCACCUGCCCCGGGGCUGCCCUUGCCUCCGCUCCGCUCGCGGGUCUCUCUCUGCAAGUUUACAGAAUUAAAGCUCAGUAUUUUAGAGGCCUGGCAUCCGCCUGUUUUUCUAUGCGUGAGAAAGCGCUGA
rnacentral:lncRNA from 1 species